rnacentral:rRNA from 1 species
UGACCGCUGGCGGCGUGCCUAAUACAUGCAAGUCGAGCGAACAGACGAGGAGCUUGCUCCUCUGACGUUAGCGGCGGACGGGUGAGUAACACGUGGAUAACCUACCUAUAAGACUGGGAUAACUUCGGGAAACCGGAGCUAAUACCGGAUAAUAUAUUGAACCGCAUGGUUCAAUAGUGAAAGACGGUUUUGCUGUCACUUAUAGAUGGAUCCGCGCCGCAUUAGCUAGUUGGUAAGGUAACGGCUUACCAAGGCAACGAUGCGUAGCCGACCUGAGAGGGUGAUCGGCCACACUGGAACUGAGACACGGUCCAGACUCCUACGGGAGGCAGCAGUAGGGAAUCUUCCGCAAUGGGCGAAAGCCUGACGGAGCAACGCCGCGUGAGUGAUGAAGGUCUUCGGAUCGUAAAACUCUGUUAUUAGGGAAGAACAAAUGUGUAAGUAACUAUGCACGUCUUGACGGUACCUAAUCAGAAAGCCACAGCUAACUACGUG